GCAAGUCGAACGGCAGCAUGGGGCUUCGGCCCUGAUGGCGAGUGGCGCACGGGUGAGUAACGCGUACACAACCUACCUAUAAGAGGGGGAUAGCCACUGGAAACGGUGAAUAAUACCCCAUAGUAUUACCAAAUUGAUAAUUAGGUAAUUAAAGCUCCGGCGCUUAUAGAUGGGUGUGCGUACUAUUAGCUAGUUGGUAAGGUAACGGCUUACCAAGGCGACGAUAGUUAGGGGGCGUGAGAGCGUGAUC
rnacentral:rRNA from 1 species